ensembl:rRNA 5S_rRNA 5S ribosomal RNA
ACACACCACCCUGAAUGCACCCGAUCUCAUCUGAUCUUAGAGGCUAAGCAGGGUCGGGCCUGGUUAGUACUUGGGUGGGAGAUACCAGCUUUU